UUAAUUAGAUAAGAAUCUUAAAAUCAAACAAGACUAUUCUUUAAAUUAACAACUUAUUAAUACUUGCUAAUAAUUUGGGAAAAAUCAUAAUUCUAACUAACAUCUAAAGAAAAUCAGAUUCUGAUCUAUUCAUCAUCAUAUAGCAUAUUAGUAUCUAUUAAAUGGUUCGGGAAAAGUCAAAUCCUGUGCGAUCAUAUUUUAAAUUAGAUAUUGUAAAAAAUCAAUCUACUUGUAAACUAGAAAACUGUGGUAAAGUUUUAACCGGGGACCAUGCAGCAAAUCUUGAACUACAUAUAGAAAGAUUCCACGAUAAGGAAUUCAAAUUAUUAAAAAAAAAAAGAAGAUAAUUUAACUAUUAAAAAAACAAUAACAAAAAAUGCAAAUAAUCAUAAUACAAUUCAAAAUGCUUUUACCAAAACUAAUACAAUACAAAUUAAUAUUAAUAAAGACACUUUAAUCCGCUCCUGCACUGAGUUAAUCACAGUUCAUGGGAGACCAAUAAAAUCAAUUGAUGACAAAGCAUUUAGAAAUAUUAUAGAUCCGAUAAUUGUAGGAUUGGGUGGUAAUUUAACCAUCAAUUCUGAAAAUAUACGCAAUAAUAUUAAAAAAAUGGCAUUUGAUUUUUCGCAAAAUUUAAAAAAAGAAAUAUACCAAAAACUUAUAUCGUUAAAAUUAGAUAUUGCAACUCG